ensembl:lncRNA
GAGUGAGACAGAGAUAAUGGUAUAGGAGGAGGGAGAGGUGGAGUGAGACAGAGAUAAUGGUAUAGGAGGAGGGAGAGGUGGAGUGAGACAGAGAUAAUGGUAUAGGAGGAAAAGAGGAGGGAGAGGUGGAGUGAGACAGAGAUAAUGGUAUAGGAGGAGGGAGAGAUGGAGUGAGACAGAGAUAAUGGUAUAGGUGGUGAGGAGGAGGGAGAAUGAGAGGUGUAGUGAGACAGAUAUAAAGGUAUAGGAGGAGGGAGAGGUGGACUGAGACAGAGAUAAUGGUAUAGGAGGUGAGGGAGAGGGCAAGGUGCAGUGAGACAGAGAUAAUGGUAGAGGAGGGGAGGAGGGAGAGGUGGAGUGAGACAGAGAUAAUGGUAUAGGAGGUGAGGAGAGAUGGAGGGAGACAGAGAUAAAGGCAUAGGAGGUGAGGAGGAGGGAGAGGUGGAGUGAGACAGAGAUAAAGGCAUAGGAGGUGAGGAGGAGGGAGAGGUGGAGUGAGACAGAGAUAAAGGUAUAGGAGGUGAGGAGGAGGGAGAGGUGGAGUGAGACAGAGAUAAAGGUAUAGGAGGAGGGAGAGGUGGAGUGAGACAGAGAUAAAGGUAUAGGAGGUGAGGAG